rnacentral:misc_RNA from 1 species
GAUGAAGAACGUAGUGAAAUGUGAUAAGUAAUGUGAAUCGCAGAAUCUCGUGAAUCAUCGAAUCUUUGAACGCACAUUGCGCCCAAUGGUAUUCCAUUGGGCAUACCUGUUUGAGUAUCAGAAUCCUUUCAAUUAUCAAACUUUUAUAUAUAGAGAUGUAUGUAAAGAUGUUUGGAAUAAAGUUGAGAAAAGUAGUAUUGUUUAUAAUAUUACUUUCUUAAAAACCAGAAAUAUUAUGUUUUGAUUUUUCUUCACCUCAUUUUGUAUGAAAUUUUAACAAAUGAGUAUGAGUAAAAAUAACAAUACUUUGGAUGACCUCAAAUCAGGUAGGGAUACCCGCUGAACUUAAGCAUAUCAAUAAGCGGAGGA